GCGUGUGAAAAGCUUCAUUGAUUUCCUAUUCUCACACGUUAGAGCUGUCACCAAGUCCUCCCUCUCAUGCAGCUCUUGACAGGCUGCUGAGAUGACAUCUGGCCAAAAGGAGGGGAACUGCGGCUGCACGAAGCAUUGGCUGGUCUGACUGGAGAGGCAGAGCCGUUGGGUAACCCCAGGGCUCUGCUGCUGGCCCCAGCUUUUGAGAUGAAAGGAACAGCUUUUGCUGGUACUUCGGUGUCUUAGAAGAGGAUCAUAAAACUACAAACCUGGAUUCUGAACAUAGUUCUGUUCUGCAAUAAGAGACAAAGUUCAUAGCUAGAAGAAUAUGUGUUUUCUAACACAAAAUGAAAUGAGGAGCUGAUGGUAACUGUAGGACAGAGCUUUUUCCAGGAUCACCAUGGUUUCACCCUAGCCGUACCUGGCACCCGUUCAGGUACCCCCCCAGAAAAGGUGCUUGAUGAGUCUGGUUCAGAGGUGAUCUCCAGAGGAAGUCUGCUGGCUUGGUGACCCUGUGACCUUGGACCACAUAUUUAAGUGUGUGCAGCUUCAUUCAAGCUGUUUUCCCAAGAAACAUGUGACUCAGCUGCAUCUUAUCUACCGCUGAUACUGGACAACCAAGUAAAGAUAGUUAAAAUCUUCACCUCAGGCCCCAGACAGCAAAGGAUUUGCCAUUGUCACCA